rnacentral:rRNA from 1 species
UGCCAGCCGCCGCGGUAAUACGGAGGGUGCAAGCGUUAUCCGGAUUCACUGGGUUUAAAGGGUGCGUAGGCGGGAGAUUAAGUCAGAAGUGAAAGCCCCGAGCUCAACUUGGGAACUGCUUUUGAAACUGAUCUUCUUGAAUAUAGUUGAGGUAGGCGGAAUACAACAUGUAGCGGUGAAAUGCAUAGAUAUGUUGUAGAACACCAAUUGCGAAGGCAGCUUACUAGACUAUCAUUGACGCUGAGGCACGAAAGCGUGGGGAGCGAACAGGAUUAGAUA